CUCUUAACGGCUUCUCUGCAGUCUUACUCUGCCCUGAUGCUUGCAGCCCUGAACUUUCCUUGGCUGAAAGAACGUAGCCUACUUCUAAGAUUCCAACAUCCAGAAAGACAGAGUAAAAUCAAGCCCAAUAAAACAGGUGCAAAACUUCUGAAGAUUUGCAGAAGACAGUAAGAGAACCACCAAGAAGGCUAUAGCAGUAUUAUGUGUCAAGAUCAAAUGAGUGACCUUCAAGGAGCAAAAAUGUUUACUUUAAAACAUGUUGAAAUAAAGUAGUACUGUUAUCCCCUUAAUAAGUACUCUGUAAUUUUUCUUAAAGUUAACUUGAGAUAUUUUUGUUCCAGUAAAAUGGAUGUUUUUAAAAUGAGACUUUUGAUAUUUGAAUCCGUCUUUUUAAUUUCUAAUAAAAAUAAUAUAUUCACAUUAAUAA